AUUGAACGCUGGCGGCAUGCUUUACACAUGCAAGUCGAACGGCAGCACGGACUUCGGUCUGGUGGCGAGUGGCGAACGGGUGAGUAAUACAUCGGAACGUGCCCAGUUGUGGGGGAUAACUACUCGAAAGAGUAGCUAAUACCGCAUGAGAACUGAGGUUGAAAGCAGGGGAUCGCAAGACCUUGCGCAACUGGAGCGGCCGAUGGCAGAUUAGGUAGUUGGUGGGAUAAAAGCUUACCAAGCCGACGAUCUGUAGCUGGUCUGAGAGGACGACCAGCCACACUGGGACUAAGACACGGCCCAGACUCCUACGGGAGGCAGCAGUGGGGAAUUUUGGACAAUGGGCGAAAGCCUGAUCCAGCAAUGCCGCGUGCAGGAUGAAGGCCUUCGGGUUGUAAACUGCUUUUGUACGGAACGAAAAGCUUCGGGUUAAUACCCUGGAGUCAUGACGGUACCGUAAGAAUGAGCACCGGCUAACUACGUGCCAGCCGCCGCCGUAAUAC
rnacentral:rRNA from 1 species